CUACGGGUCGCUCCAGUGGGGAAUAUUGGACAAUGGGGGAAACCCUGAUCCAGCAAUGCCGCGUGUGUGAAGAAGGCCUGCGGGUUGUAAAGCACUUUCGGUUGGGAGGACUGCUUCUAGCACUAAUAUUGUUGGAAGUUGACGUUACCUUCAGAAGAAGCACCGGCUAACUCCGUGCCAGCAGCCGCGGGUAAUACGGAGGGUGCAAGCGUUAAUCGGAAUUACUGGGCGUAAAGCGCGCGUAGGCGGCUAGAUCAGUCGGGUGUGAAAGCCCCGGGCUUAACCUGGGAACUGCAUCCGAUACUGUCUAGCUUGAGUACAGGAGAGGAGAGUGGAAUUCCACAUGUAGCGGUGAAAUGCGUAGAUAUGUGGAGGAACACCAGUGGCGAAGGCAGCUCUCUGGCCUGAUACUGACGCUGAGGUGCGAAAGCGUGGGGAGCAAACAGGAUUAGAUACCCCUGUAGUC
rnacentral:rRNA from 1 species